rnacentral:lncRNA from 1 species
CUACAUUAGACUGAACAUGGUUUUACUGCAGCACAUCUUGGCUAUGAUCCUAAAUCACACUUGUAGCUCUGCUUAUCAAGUAGCCAAUCCUUCCUAAUGCCAAUGACUGUAGAAGAAACUCAAGUCCCCAGGCAAUUCCUCAGAUGACUGCUUACAGCAGAAGACAAAGAAGAGGAUAAAAAGAAUUAAGUCAAGUUUUGGAGUCUUACUACAACAAUGGUGGAUGAUUAAGCCAUAUAU